CUGAACCUACAACUGGCCUUACUGGCUCCUCAGUAUGGAUGUCCUGUAGUGGUUAGGAGCAGCAUCCCUGCUGGUUGGGGUGCCCACCCAUCAGGCCUUGAGAGGGAAUUGAAACACUCAUUUUUUGACACCCCAUGUUCUGAAGGUUCUCCCCUCGUUGCUUUUCCCAGAAUGCUCAAAACAAAAGUGCGUUUCCUGUUUAGAAAGAGAGAGAAGAUAAGCCCUAAAGUGCAGCCUCCUGCUCUGGCUACCCCAAGUAUAAACAGCCUGCGCGGCCAGGCACUGCUUUUGUUUGUUCUAGCAGCUUUCUCUCCUUAAAGGUACAUUAGGCACAAUUAUACAAAGUCCGUUUUCUGGCAGCAUCACUCCUGACUGGCACGAGAGCUCCAGGACCAUCAGCUCAUCAGGAAAUCUCCUGUCUGCCCGGAGCACGCAGUGAAUUCCCACCUUUGCACUCAAGGCACAGCAUUAAGUGCUUCCAAAAUUCCCAUGACGGCUCCAUCCUGCAACGUUCUGAACCUCCUCACUGUGCUUCAGCAAUGCGAUCAGGUCCAGAUACGAGCUCAGGACUGGACCUACUGCAACAAGCAGUGUGAACAAUGCUGGGCUCUUACUGCCAUGCUCAGGAAACAGGAGUGUCAUUUCUCCUUGUCUGCUGUGAGCGAGUCCUCAUCGGUUCAAGUGACAACACGUGCAGGUGCCUCUCUGCUUUUUCCACACCGGGUGAGUCCUUUCAGCAAGCAGGGAGGGAACAGCUGCUGGGUGAAAACAAGGCCAUCCUGCUGACCCAAGCUGAAAUGCGACAGGGAAAUGGGAUUUCUGACCUUGAGAGGUACAAAGUUGCCCAAAGGAGGGACCCGGCGAAGAUUAAAAAUAACUCCAUCUCCGUAACGCUUCUGCAGCUGGGCCAAAGCAUUGCAAAACACACAGCCAGCUAUGAAAUAGGACCAAUUGACAACAGCCUUUUGGUGACCGAUGGGCUGAGGAGCUCGCCCUCCCCUUUGCGAGCAUGGACUGAAGAACAGCUGCUUUUGUCAGCCGUGCUCUUGUUUGUCCUCUCCCCUGUCCCUGCAGAUGUUUGAGGAUGGCUGCUGUGACGGUGCUCAUCGUGUGGGUCGGUGUUCCUUUCUCCUCAGCUCCCACUUCUCUUUGGCUGUUGUGAGAGCAAUUAGACAUUACUCAGAGAGGGCCAGACAGUGUGUGGGUCCAUGGUCGCUCGGUCUGUCUGUCUGUCUCCCCCCUCUCGCACACAUGCCAUGUGAUUUGAAGCAGUCAUGUACCAUGAAUAAUGUCCAGGGGCCAGGUCACAAGCUUCCCAUAGCAUGGAAUUCAUUUGCAUACAAUCCGAGUAAUUACAAGUAAUGAAUAGAUUAGGAAAACCAAACAAAACGAGAAACGAUUCAGGCUGCUGCUAAUUCCUCAGCAGAAAGGAG
ensembl:lncRNA